rnacentral:rRNA from 1 species
AGUGAACGCUGGCGGCAGGCCUAACACAUGCAAGUCGAACGGCAGCACAGGAGAGCUUGCUCUCUGGGUGGCGAGUGGCGGACGGGUGAGGAAUACAUCGGAAUCUACCUUUUCGUGGGGGAUAACGUAGGGAAACUUACGCUAAUACCGCCUACGACCUUAGGGGGAAAGCGGAGGACCUUCGGGCUUCGCGCGGAUAGAUGAGCCGAUGUCGGAUUAGCUAGUUGGCGGGGUAAAGGCCCACCAAGGCGACGAUCCGUGGCUGGUCUGAGAGGAUGAUCAGCCACACUGGAACUGAGACACGGUCCAGACUCCUACGGGAGGCAGCAGUGGGGAAUAUUGGACAAUGGGCGCAAGCCUGAUCCAGCCAUGCCGCGUGGGUGAAGAAGGCCUUCGGGUUGUAAAGCCCUUUUGUUGGGAAAGAAAGGCAGCCGGUUAAUACCCGGUUGUUCUGACGAUACCCAAAGAAUAAGCACCGGCUAACUUCGUGCCAGCCGCCGCAGUAA